AUUGAACGCUGGCGGCAGGCCUAACACAUGCAAGUCGAGCGGAUGAAGGGAGCUUGCUCCUGGAUUCAGCGGCGGACGGGUGAGUAAUGCCUAGGAAUCUGCCUGGUAGUGGGGGAUAACGUCCGGAAACGGGCGCUAAUACCGCAUACGUCCUGAGGGAGAAAGUGGGGGAUCUUCGGACCUCACGCUAUCAGAUGAGCCUAGGUCGGAUUAGCUAGUUGGUGGGGUAAAGGCCUACCAAGGCGACGAUCCGUAACUGGUCUGAGAGGAUGAUCAGUCACACUGGAACUGAGAAAAGGUCCCGACUCCUACGGGAGGCAGCAGUGGGGAAUAUUGGAAAAUGGGCGAAAGCCUGAUCCAGCCAUGCCGCGUGUGUGAAGAAGGUCUUCGGAUUGUAAAGCACUUUAAGUUGGGAGGAAGGGCAGUAAGUUAAUACCUUGCUGUUUUGACGUUACCAACAGAAUAAGCACCGGCUAACUUCGUG
rnacentral:rRNA from 1 species